GUCCCUGUAGCACAAUGGAUGGCGCAUUGGAUUGCUAAUCCCACCUGGGCUCGAUUCCCACCUGGGACG